CGGCAGCUGGAGCCGGAGCAGGGGGGGGAAGCUUUCGAAAAAUAAUUAAAAAUCGAGGAAAUACCCCAGAAAAGCCCUUUUGGCGUGAAAACCCCAAAGAGGACCCAAGCUUCCCGCAAUGGAGGUUUUGGGUGCCAGAAAGGUCUGUAUCUGGACCCCAGGGGCUUAGGAUCCCUCGGGGGGAACUUGAAGGGGUGAGAGCCGCUCGAGAGUGCCCGGCUGCGGCCCAAGGGCAGAAACUGGGGGACGUGUGACGAGCUGAGGGCGAGGAGGGAGCAGGGAGCCCCGGAAAGAGGCGCUGGGGGCUCGACCUCUCCUUUCGGGGUGUCCCGAUGUCCCCCUACACACACCCCCUCCCCCUUCCUACCCCACCCAAAUCUGCGCACCGAAGAAGCUGGAAAGCCAAACUGUGAGGAGACAAGAGACCUAAGUACUCAACUGCUAAGGAGUAAGGAGUAAGCUGAGAUGUGAACAUGAUGUUGAAACCCCAGGAUUUGUCCCUGGUUCGUCUCUCAACGAAAGGAAGAGAGUAAAACUGGUUCAUACAAAGAUUGAUGCUGAAAAUGCACCUUCCAGAAGGCGUCAGUGUAGAUGCAACUCGAUCUCAUCCUGUUCUGUCUACAUGUCCAGUCACCUACAGUGAGAUCUGGCAUCCAGUGAUAAUCUCAAGCUAGAACCCUCCAAGAGCACCAAGAAAUUUGCAUUCUUUGUUCUUUGCUUGCUAAAAGGGAAAAGUAGACUCCCGCUUUUGAGAAAGAUAAUCUGAUUUUAAGAGAAAUAUACAGAAUGUUUUUCCUCUGAAGUUAACAUUGCACACAUAAAAAAUGAACUUUUGAAGGAAGAACUUUUUGCAAACUCUGAAUGCUUUGGUCAGUCGACCUUUCAUUGUAACAAGUAAAUCGGCAGCCACAAAUAAACUGGGACAGAAAGUGCACACUUCGCAAAAGAUCUGUCACUUAGCUAGAUACUCUCUUGUGGUGCUUCUUUAAAGAGAGAGCAUUUCUGGUACAUUUUAAAUAAUUUCAUUUGCUUGAAAGUGAGGUUUAUAUAUUCUAUUUAGAAAAUCUGGCACAGUGUACCUAAUUACUUAAGCUCUCUGAAAAUAAUAUGUUAAUACUGAAAGGAGCAUUUCAGUCUGUAGCAGGCCAUCCCAUCUCCAGUUUUCUUCUAUUACUAAGCAUCCCCAAGGGAUCUGACCACCCCAGAUAGGACUCUACCUGGUGCUUCCACCAUGGAUGCUUAAUCACUGAUCUCUUUUUAGAUUUUGUUUGUUUUGUUUUUCCCAUUUAUGGUGGAAAACUUCCCAACAUAAAAGUAGAGAAUAUAAUAUAAUUAACUACCAUGGUACCUCUCACCUAGCUGCUGCAAUGAUUAACAUAGGGCCAAUCACCUUUUUUCUAUACCUGAUCCCAGUUCUCCCUCCCACCCAGAUAACUUUAAAGCAAAUCCAAACAUCAUGUAAUUUCAUCAAUAAAUAC